rnacentral:lncRNA from 1 species
AUUUUACUAAAUACUAUGAAACUCAUGAAAUUAAUAAGAAAAAUAUAAUAUUUAAAAAAGAAAGAGAAAUUUUGUAAAGUUGGAAAAAUAUUUAUCUAUAUAAAAUAAUAUAAUUGGUUGUGUUUUGUGUUUGAUAAUAUGUAAUUUGAAAAGUCGAGUUCAAUUCUAGUACAUUUAUACAAUAUUAUAAUUUUUUCAUUUUCUAUCUUGGUAAUAAUGAGAAAAAAAUUUAUAAUAUUUGUGCUUAUCAAAACAAAAUCCAACAUUUGCAUCUAAAUACUUAUCGCUCCACCUCUUCCCAAACUCAGCCUGCUUUUCCUAAUAGCUAUCUAUGUGUCAAUUUUAUCUAUAUAUAACCACCAUUCCACACUCUACAAGAAACAUCUCUGCCUCUCUUCCCCUUCCUCACCAUCCCACACACACACACACACAAAUUGAGAAAUUACUAGAAACAAUGGUGAUGGGAAUUGAAAACCCUCUGCAGCUGAAGUCAUUGAAUCACAUCUCCCUGGUCUGUCGAUCCGUGGAGAAAUCCCUCGAAUUCUACCAGCACGUUCUUGGUUUCUUCCCCAUCCGCCGCCCUGGCUCCUUCGACUUCGAUGGCGCCUGGUAAACUUCAAUCCACAAACAAAACCCAUCUUCUUCAUUGAUUGAUUGCGUGUCUUAUACGGGUUUCUGUUUGCGUAGGCUGUUCGGUUACGGAAUCGGAAUCCAUUUGCUCCAGUCAGAGGACCCAGAGAGCAUGCCCAAAAUCUGUGUCAUCAACCCAAAAGACAACCACAUCUCCUUCCAAGUAAUUCGUCCGCUUCCCUAGUUUUUUUUAUGUAUGUUUUAUUUUCAAGCUAGUACUUUGGGAUCAACGAUUGUGUUGUUUUGAUUUCCAGUGUGAGAGCAUGGCGACGGUGGAGAAAAAGCUGAAAGAGAUGGAGAUCGAGUACGUGAAAGGGCGGGUGGAGGAAGGAGGGAUCUACGUGGAUCAGCUAUUCUUCCACGACCCAGAUGGUUCCAUGAUUGAAAUCUGCAAUUGCGACAAUCUCCCAGUCGUCCCUCUCGCUGGAGAAGCUAUUCGUUCUUGCUCUCUCAUCAACUGCACCAUCCAGCAGCAGCAGCAGCAGAAGGAGCUCUUGAACAAGCUCUGCAAAUGAUGAUGAAAUGAAACACCGAUGAUGAUGACAUAUGUAGUGGUGUAAUGAAAUGUAUGUGUAAUGUUAUUCUAGUGUGAAUUUGUCUGUGUCACCUCUGUUGACAUGCAGCUAGCUAGCAGGGGGGAAUUUUGAAGUUUCCCCCUUCACUACUGAUGGAUGAUACAGAGUGCGUACGGAUGCAAAUUGAAUAAAUGUAGUAAUGAUUAGUUGUUUGUUUCAAUGUAUAGUUUCUUGAUCGCCAUCCUGUACACAUUGGCAAGAGAGAAAGAGAGGCAAUAAUUGAGGAGCUAGCUAUAAUUGUGGUUGUAUGCAUUUCUGCAAACACUUGGUGGGUAGGCCUGAAUUCCCCUACGUAACCUUGAACAUUUGACGUCCGCUUUCUUGUCAAAUUGUGGGUGGGGGAACUUUACUGCCGUAACUCAAUUACCCAGCUACCGCACUAUCGUUUGAUCGUGUCUUCUCUUCUCUCAAAGCCCAGACCCACAGCUUAAGGUAUUAUUCUAGUCGCAGAGUUAUUUGCUGAGUAGUU